rnacentral:rRNA from 1 species
AGAGUUUGAUCAUGGCUCAGAGCGAACGCUGGCGGCGUGCUUAACACAUGCAAGUCGAGUGCGUACUCCGUAGCAAUACGGAAUGACGCACGGCGCACGGGUGCGUAACACGUGGGUAAUCUGCCCUUCGAUGGGGAAUAACCCCGGGAAACCGGGGCUAAUUCCGCAUAACAUUUCGAGGAUUUCGGUCUUUGAAUUCAAAGGCGUAAGUCGUCGGAGGAGGAGCCCGCGCACGAUUAGCUAGUUGGUGAGGUAAUGGCUCACCAAGGCUAUGAUCGUUAGCUGGUCUGAGAGGAUGGCCAGCCACACUGGAACUGAGACACGGUCCAGACUCCUACGGGAGGCAGCAGUGGGGAAUCUUGCACAAUGGGCGAAAGCCUGAUGCAGCGACGCCGCGUGGGGGAUGAAGCAUUUCGGUGUGUAAACCCCUUUCGACCCGGACGAAUGCCUCGCAAGAGGACUGACGGUACGGGUAUAAGAAGCCCCGGCUAACUACGUGCCAGCAGCCGCGGUAAGACGUAGGGGGCCAGCGUUGCUCGGAAUUACUGGGUGUAAAGGGUUCGUAGGCGGUGCGGCAAGUUGGGAGUGAAAUCUCUGGGCUCAACCCAGAGGCUGCUUCCAAAACUGCUGUGCUUGAGUGUGGGAGAGGCGCGUGGAAUUGCAGGUGUAGCGGUGAAAUGCGUAGAUAUCUGCAGGAACACCCGUGGCGAAAGCGGCGCGCUGGACCACAACUGACGCUGAGGAACGAAAGCUAGGGGAGCGAACAGGAUUAGAUACCCUAGUAGUCC